rnacentral:rRNA from 1 species
UGAGGAAUAUUGCGCAAUGGCCGAAAGGCUGACGCAGCGACGCCGCGUGGAGGAUGAAGUCCGUUAGGAUGUAAACUCCUUUUGCAGGGGAUGAAUGUUCCGCUAUACGCGGACUUGACCGUACCCUGCGAAUAAGGAUCGGCCAACUACGUGCCAGCAGCCGCGGUAAUACGUAGGAUCCAAGCGUUGUCCGGAUUUACUGGGUGUAAAGGGCGUGUAGGUGGAUUUUUAAGUCGGUGGUGAAAUCCUGCAGCUCAACUGCAGAAUUGCCUCCGAUACUGGAAAUCUUGAGUGCGGCAGAGGGAGACGGAAUUCAUGGUGUAGCGGUGAAAUGUGUAGAUAUCAUGAAGAACACCGGUUGCGAAGGCGGUCUCCUGGUCCGUUACUGACACUGAGGCGCGAAAGCGUGGGGAGCAAACAGG